UACGUAGGGGGCAAGCGUUGUCCGGAUUCAUUGGGCGUAAGGAGCGUGUAGGCGGCCAGGUAGGUCGGUUGUGAAAACUGGAGGCUCAACCUUCAGAGGUCGACCGAAACCAUCUGGCUAGAGUCCGGGAGAGGAGAGUGGAAUUCCUGGUGUAGCGGUGAAAUGCGCAGAUAUCAGGAGGAACACCUGUGGUGUAGACAGCUUACUGGACCACUUCUGACGCUGAGACACGAAAGCGUGGGUAGCAAACAGG
rnacentral:rRNA from 1 species